rnacentral:rRNA from 1 species
AGUGAACGCUGGCGGUAGGCCUAACACAUGCAAGUCGAACGGCAGCACAGUAAGAGCUUGCUCUUACGGGUGGCGAGUGGCGGACGGGUGAGGAAUACAUCGGAAUCUACUUUUUCGUGGGGAAUAACGUAGGGAAACUUACGCUAAUACCGCAUACGACCUACGGGUGAAAGCAGGGGAUCUUCGGACCUUGCGCGAUUGAAUGAGCCGAUGUCGGAUUAGCUAGUUGGCGGGGUAAAGGCCCACCAAGGCGACGAUCCGUAGCUGGUCUGAGAGGAUGAUCAGCCACACUGGAACUGAGACACGGUCCAGACUCCUACGGGAGGCAGCAGUGGGGAAUAUUGGACAAAGGGCGCAAGCCUGAUCCAGCCAUACCGCGUGGGUGAAGAAGGCCUUCGGGUUGUAAAGCCCUUUUGUUGGGAAAGAAAAGCAGCAGGUUAAUACCCCGCUGUUCUGACGGUACCCAAAGAAUAAGCACCGGCUAACUUCGUG